ACGUUGAAAAACUGGUUCUCGUACGAUCACUGAAGUUAAGCAACGUCGAGCCUGGUCAGUAUCUAGUAUGGGUGACUGCUUGGGAAUACCAGGUGCUGUG